rnacentral:misc_RNA from 1 species
AAGUCGUAACAAGGUUUCCGUAGGUGAACCUGCGGAAGGAUCAUUAAAGAAAUGAUGUUUUUUGGGGUUUUUAAUCUCAAAAAAUAAUUCACCUUUUGUGCAUUGUUAUUAGAUAUACUUUGGUUAGAGCUUUGAUUUCAUUGAUUGGAAUCAACUUCUUGCUGACUCUAUCCUAGUAUAUAGGACAGUUGGCUAUGAAGCGGCCUACCAAGGUUUUUUUAUCAAACUCUUGUAUUUUGUCUGACCUAAAAUAUCAAUAAUUAAAUCAUAACUUUCAACAACGGAUCUCUUGGCUCUC